AGUUUGAUCCUGGCUCAGAUUGAACGCUAGCGGGAUGCUUUACACAUGCAAGUCGAACGGCAGCACGAGAGAGCUUGCUCUCUUGGUGGCGAGUGGCGGACGGGUGAGUAAUAUAUCGGAACGUGCCCAGUAGCGGGGGAUAACUACUCGGAAAGAGUGGCUAAUACCGCAUACGCCCUACGGGGGAAAGGGGGGGAUCGCAAGACCUCUCACUAUUGGAGCGGCCGAUAUCGGAUUAGCUAGUUGGUGGGGUAAAGGCUCACCAAGGCAACGAUCCGUAGCUGGUUUGAGAGGACGACCAGCCACACUGGGACUGAGACACGGCCCAGACUCCUACGGGAGGCAGCAGUGGGGAAUUUUGGACAAUGGGGGAAACCCUGAUCCAGCCAUCCCGCGUGUAUGAUGAAGGCCUUCGGGUUGUAAAGUACUUUUGGCAGAGAAGAAAAGGCAUCCCCUAAUACGGGAUGCUGCUGACGGUAUCUGCAGAAUAAGCACCGGCUAACUACGUGCCAGCAGCCGCGGUAAUACGUAGGGUGCAAGCGUUAAUCGGAAUUACUGGGCGUAAAGCGUGUGUAGGCGGUUCGGAAAGAAAGAUGUGAAAUCCCAGGGCUCAACCUUGGAACUGCAUUUUUAACUGCCGAGCUAGAGUAUGUCAGAGGGGGGUAGAAUUCCACGUGUAGCAGUGAAAUGCGUAGAUAUGUGGAGGAAUACCGAUGGCGAAGGCAGCCCCCUGGGAUAAUACUGACGCUCAGACACGAAAGCGUGGGGAGCAAACAGGAUUAGAUACCCUGGUAGUCCACGCCCUAAACGAUGUCAACUAGCUGUUGGGGCCGUUAGGCCUUAGUAGCGCAGCUAACGCGUGAAGUUGACCGCCUGGGGAGUAUCGGUCGCAAGAUUAAAACUCAAAGGAAUUGACGGGGACCCGCACAAGCGGUGGAUGAUGUGGAUUAAUUCGAUGCAACGCGAAAAACCUUACCUACCCUUGACAUGUGUGGAAUGCCGAAGAGAUUUGGCAGUGCUCGCAAGAGAACCGGAACACAGGUGCUGCAUGGCUGUCGUCAGCUCCUGUCCUGAGAUGUUGGGUUAAGUCCCGCAACGAGCGCAACCCUUGUCACUAGCUGUACGCAAGAGCACUGUAAUGAGACUGCCGGUGACAAUCCUGGAGGAAGGUGGGGAUGACGUCAAGUCCUCAUGGCCCUUAUGGGUAGGGCUUCACACGUCAUACAAUGGUCGGCACAGAGGGUCGCCAACCCGCGAGGGGGAGCCAAUCUCAGAAACCCGAUCGUAGUCCGGAUCGCAGUUUGCAACUCGACUGCGAGAAGUCGGAAUCGCUAGUAAUCUCGGAUCAGAAUGUCGCGGUGAAUACGUUCCCGGGUCGAGCACUCACCGCCCGUCA
rnacentral:rRNA from 1 species